GAAAAAAGAUUGAAGAAGGGUUUUGGUAGCAAAGGGAGUAAUUAAGGCACCAAUAUAGAUGAAUGGAGAUGAAUGAUGAAAAUCUCCAUUCCUAUUGGUCAAAAAUCAUGACCAAUAGGCUUUGAAGAGGCUGCCCGAGGCCAUAUUAGAGAUUAGGAUUAGUUUUUUGGAUGGAUUCGAGCUUUGAAGGCUAGGGUCAACAAGUUUAGAUUUUUAGCUAUGAUUUUGGUGCAAAUUUUGUAUGGUUUGGAGUUUAUAUGAAGGAGAUACAAGCGCUCAAAGUUAGGAUGUUGAUUUGGAAGCUAUCGUCACUUUUUUUCUAGCAUAAUGUACACGUACAGAAAGAAUUGAGGAUUGGUGACCGCGACUAGAAAGAACACUUUUGCGGCUACACUUUUUGCAUAUUGCUUGCUAGAUUCCAAGUUUGGAUGAAGGAGUUACUGGAUUUUGAAGUCAGUGCAUGCAAUCUAAGGGUAGUAAGUAACCUGAUUUACUAGUGGUUGUGACUUGAGCUAUAUCUUGAGCAAUUUGAUAAGGUUUUGGCU
rnacentral:lncRNA from 1 species